GAUGAAGAACGUAGCGAAAUGCGAUAAGUAAUGUGAAUUGCAGAAUUCCGUGAAUCAUCGAAUCUUUGAACGCACAUUGCGCCCGCCAGUAUUCUGGCGGGCAUGCCUGUUCGAGCGUCAUUUCAACCAUCAAGCCCCAGGCUUGUGUUGGGGACCUGCGGCUGCCGCAGGCCCUGAAAACCAGUGGCGGGCUCGCUGUCACACCGGGCGUAGUAGAUUUUAUCUCGCUCAGGGCGUGCUGCGGGUCCCGGCCGUUAAAAGCCUUUUUUUACCCAAGGUUGACCUCGGAUCAGGUAGGAAGACCCGCUGAACUUAAGCAUAUCAAUAAGCGGAGGA
rnacentral:misc_RNA from 1 species